rnacentral:rRNA from 1 species
UACGUAGGGGGCAAGCGUUGUCCGGAAUCAUUGGGCGUAAAGCGCGUGUAGGCGGCUCGAUAAGUCUGCUGUGAAAGUUCAGGGCUCAACCCUGAAAUGCCGGUGGAAACUGUCGAGCUAGAGUCCGGAAGAGGCGAGUGGAAUUCCUGGUGUAGCGGUGAAAUGCGCAGAUAUCAGGAGGAACACCAAUGGCGAAGGCAGCUCGCUGGGACGAUACUGACGCUGAGACGCGAAAGCGUGGGGAGCAAACAGG